rnacentral:lncRNA from 1 species
AUGUCUUUUCGCAGUAGCAAGCCCAGGGUUGCAUCGCAGCAUUGUUCUCCUUGGAAGAUGGAUAAACCAACGAAGGAUUUGAUGAAAUCUCUGGGUAGUAGCCCCAGCCCUCCCUGUACCAGUGGUGAGGCUUCAUGCUUGGACAGCCCAAGAAUGAAUCUGUUGCUUCCCAGUAGCUGCAACAAGGAGGCAAAAAAAUACUCAGCCUUUAGACAAAAGGCUUACUCUGUCAUCACUCCAGGAGCCUCCAGCAUCUCAGGGGAUGUUUGUGCUGCCCCUCGUAUGUACCAUGCUUUAGUAAAACAGGCGGACCUCGAACAGCACACCCCUAAAGGUAAAUAUACUGAGAGAAAAGGUGACGUGGCAAGAAGCAGAGCCAUGAGCCUUAUGGGUGCUUGUGCUAAGCGUGCCAGGAACAAGGCUUAUCAUUAUGGGUUAGUGCACUGCUUUCAUUCUCCUCUCAGUGCCAGGAAAGGUGCUGAGCUGCUUGAAUGUCCCAUGAAAAAUGAGUUUCAUGUACAGGUAGAGCAAUGUUGUCUGAGUGGGUGGUAAAACCAUGCUCCCUUUUCUCCUGGAUGUAGCCACCCCCAAGGUUCAGGGUGGAGUGCGUUGCUGUCUAUGGCAGUUUGGUCCCAAAAUCCCAUGUGGAGUUUGGCAUGUGGCAUUCAGCAGUGCCAUAUGCCAGGAGAGUGCUGAGUUUACGUGCGUUAUCAUUGGGUGCGGAGAUGGCAGUGCCACUUCCCUGGUUAUCCAGAGCAGUGACGUGGGACCUGCCUUCUAAAGCCAUAUUCAGGAUCUGGGUACUGCAGCCAAAAUCAUAAUCCUCUCUCAUUUAUUCAUUCUGCAUCCAAAUGUGCUCCCGAGUGCCUUGUUCUCUCUUUGAUGCAAGGGAUCAUCGUGCAUACUGAGCUGCUGGUCCCACCUGCUUAUGAGAGCUUGUUGUCUCAUGGAUGCUCAGAUACAGGCACAGAGCAGAGCUGAAAAGUCUGCUGGCACUCUCCCUGCCCCUAGAGCAUUCCUGGGGGUAUGGAUCAUAGACUGACAGCGAGUGGGGAGAAAGUGUGCAUUAGAGAGGAUUUUAGUCUUAGAGAGAUGGUAACUAUAUAUACACCACUUUCCUGUGCUUAGAAGUGACAUUUAUUUUCAUGAGUGAGGACAAAUGAUUGCAUCCUCAAGUGAAUCUUGACAAGACAGACUCAUCCCUAACAAGUGCAGACAGAUCUCUAUUUAUGAUCUGCUGCUUCUUCAAGGGGGAAGAAGCUAUCAGGCUGGAAAUGUAAAUGCAAAUGAAACACUAAGUAUUGACAUAAAUAGUUGAUAGUGCACAAAGUGCCAUAAUGGAUGGUGCCAUGGAUUUUGCAACAAUGGAGUGACAAAAUUGGAACAGCUGUGCUCAAACAACAAAUACAAAUCAGGGCCAUUCUGCGAAGACCCCAAGUGAGAGAUGUGCAUGAGGCUAAAGGAGCAGUAGUAAACCCGCUGCGUUUUAGGGAUUCCUCAAAAUUAUUGUAAGCUUGUGUAUUGGUAUGGACAGUGAAAAUAUUUAGGAUCCUGUUUAUUCCAUGUGAGGGAGAGGAGAAUAGAGGGAGGAGUCAGCUAUCUUCUUGAGUCCCUAAGCAGGCAGUGUACAGCUACAAGGGUGCUGUCGGGAUCCUCUAAUAAGGUUAUUUGUUUCUCUUUCUUUAGAGGACCCUCUCAGGGUCAGGAAGUGUGUCUGGUUUCAGCACUGUUGGCUGCUCAACACCAUUACCUUGAAUUCAAGGUGUCUCAGCCCUGAUGCAGACAGAAGCACGUUGUUGCAGGGCGAAGGACUGGGACCAAAGCUUGCCUUCCACAAUACGCAUUUAAGAACCAGAACCCUAAGAUUCUCCUUGAUCAAACGUGAAAGUUCAUCAAAUGAAAAGCUCUCACUCCACCAAAAUCUAUUUUUUGGCUCAGUGUUCAGCUCUGUCUAGGGAAUAGUGCUUUUUAAAGCUCGCAUGCAAUUACUUAAUUUAGGUUAAGCUUCAAAUUCCCAGUUUGCUGCUGUUCUAUUAUUUGCAGCUUGUUUAGCUAUACAAACAGUUUGGUUUAUUUAUGGAGUAAAUGACAUGGUUUAAUUUCAGCCAAUUCUUGGAAAUGCAUACUUUUUGCUUAGUCCACAUUUCCAUUGAGAACAUUUGGCUGAAUUGUGAGAUUGUUAGCUGUUUAACCCAUUUUUUUUCCUCACACCACUGCUGAUGUGAGUAGGAGGUUUGCUUGAGCAAGCUACAACUGAACCUUGCUCUCAGAGCAACCUGGUGUAACAGGGGAAUCCCACCCUUUUCUGAGACUGAGGGAAGCCAUGCACUAGAAACAGAACCUUGCCCACAGUCACGUAGAAAGUUUGCAGCAAAGCUGGGAAUGGAUCUCCUCCAAGCCAGGUCAGUGCCCUGCAUGCUAAUAAGGCUCAUUGGAGUCAGUCUCAGGCUUCUGUGCCAUCAUUUUAAUAGUGAAAAAACGUAAUGACAUCUUGCAUUGGGCAAAAAGAUCUUCCCUCUCCGAGGCAUUAAAGUUUGUUUCCCCUUUGCCUGUUGGAUUCUCUCUCACAAAUCUAGUGAAGCAACUUCUGGAGAUAACCUGGUAGAUAGCACAGUGCUCCUGUGUGUGGAUAUAAAGCGGAGUAAUUUCUGGUGAGUUCAGAUGUUUACUUCUUUGUCUCUUAGUCACAACCUUCAAGAUGCCUGAGGACUUUGAAAGUGUCCUGGAUGCGCAAGUGACUGGACCAACCACUAAGAACCUCAUCAAGUCAGAUUUCCCAGUAGAGUCAUUUAAGCCCAAAGUGCAGAUUGCCUUCCAAAGGCUUCCAGGGCAGUGCCCUCGGAGGAUUGAAGUAGAGAGGUAUGUAAGCAGAAAGUGGCUGAAGGCUUCAUCAUGGAAUGGGCUCAGCAGGUUAAGGUGUUGAUUCCUGCUUUUAUUAGCUGGCAUAUAAAAAAAUCCCUAGGAAAAUACUGUCUUGUAAGGCAGUGGUGUCCAAAAUGGAGUGUGUGGACCCCAGAGGGUGUACAAGACAAUCCACUGAGGAGCAGCAAGAAAAUAUUUUUGUACCAUUAAUAAAUAAAAAUUUUAAAAUAGCGUUUAUUUAAUC